AUUCGUUCUGCAAAUAAAUACACUCCAAAUUAGUACAAUUUUGAUUGGUCGAACUUUGCCAUUAUGCGCAAUGGUUCACCUUAUAUAAUUCUAUCAUGGUUCUUGGAAUAAGCGCACUGAAAACGAUACAGCUGAUCAGAAGUCUCAUACGAUAGAGCAGUAUAAACUUUCGGAGAGUCAUAUGCGCGAGGUUCGGUUCUCAGAAUAAACGCAUUGAAGAUUGAUCGAAAUUCUUAUAUUUGUUCCGAUAGAACGAAAAAUCGUAUAUGCGCGUGGUUCCAUUCUUGAAAUGUGCGCAUUGAAAACGAUACGUCUUAUUGGAGUUUCAUAUUUGUUCCGAUAGAGCGGUAUAAACUUUCGGAAAGACCCAUAUACAUGCGUCGACCAUACAUGUAUCGGAAAAAUCAGAUACAGAACCAUAUGUAAUAGAUACGAUUGAAAUAUUUAGUAAACAUCUGUAUUCAUCCUAAAAAUACAGGACAAAAACAAGAUGGAAGCGGUAAGGUAGAUCUUAAAUCUCUAUCGUACUCAAUCGGUUCUUUUGAUUUUUUUAAGCAGAGUACACUUGUGUACAUUAAAUAAAGGAAUUCACCAUAAAUACAAAAAGGUUCAUUGCAUAUU